rnacentral:rRNA from 1 species
GGCGGACGGGUGAGUAACGCGUGAGAAUCAGCCUUCAGGUUGGGGACAACCACUGGAAACGGUGGCUAAUACCGAAUAAGCCUAACGGUGAAAGAUUUAUUGCCUGAAGAUGAGCUCGCGUCUGAUUAGCUAGUUGGUAGGGUAAUGGCCUACCAAGGCGUCGAUCGGUAACUGGUCUGAGAGGAUGACCAGUCACACUGGGACUGAGACACGGCCCAGACUCCUACGGGAGGCAGCAGUGGGGAAUUUUCCGCAAUGGGCGAAAGCCUGACGGAGCAAUACCGCGUGAGGGAGGAAGGCUCUUGGGUCGUAAACCUCUUUUCUCAGGGAAGAACAAAAUGACGGUACCUGAGGAAUCAGCAUCGGCUAACUCCGUGCCAGCAGCCGCGGUAAUACGGAGGAUGCAAGCGUUAUCCGGAAUGAUUGGGCGUAAAGCGUCCGCAGGUGGCAGUUCAAGUCUGCUGUCAAAGACUGGGGCUCAACCCUGGAAAGGCAGUGGAAACUGAACAGCUAGAGUGCGGUGGGGGCAGAGGGAAUUCCUGGUGUAGCGGUGAAAUGCGUAGAGAUCAGGAAGAACACCGGUGGCGAAAGCGCUCCGCUAGGCCGCAACUGACACUCAUGGACGAAAGCUAGGGGAGCGAAUGGGAUUAGAUACCCCAGUAGUCCUAGCCGUAAACGAUGGAUACUAGGCGUAGCUCGUAUCGACCCGAGCUGUGCCGUAGCUAACGCGUUAAGUAUCCCGCCUGGGGA